GAACAAGCUCGACAGUGGGAGCAGGCUGGAGAGUACAGCCGUGCAGUCGACUGCUACCUCAAAGUGCGGGACUCGGGAAGCAGCAGCCUGGUGGAGAAGUGCUGGAUGAAGGCAGCCGAGCUCUCCAUCAAGUUUCUGCCUCCUCAGCGCAGUCUCGAAGUAGUCCGGGCUGUAGGACCUCAGCUAAUUGCAAUUGGGAAGCACAGCGCAGUAAGUAGAGUGCUGAAGGGAAAAGAAGUAGAGUCCACGGAGAUGAGUGGAAUGUGACGCCCAAGCCCAGGAAGGUGGAUGAAGCAGGCCUCUUGGCAGGCUUGGCCUGCAGGCCCUGGGAAGCAGAGGGGGGCACUCACAGCAGUGGGGAGCGGAAGGGAACGAGGUCUCUAGUCCCUCAUCUCCCGCCGUGCAGGCUGCAGAGCUCUAUCUGAACCUGGAUCUCGUCAAGGAGGCGAUCGAUGCUUUCAUCGAGGGUGAGGAGUGGAACAAGGCCAAGCGUGUGGCCAAGGAGUUAGAUCCCCGGUACGCUCGUGACCCCCUCUCACUUGCACCGCCUUUUGGUAAAGACUGGGGGAAGGGAG
rnacentral:lncRNA from 1 species